AACGGUCUAUACCUGCGGUACCUGCGGAAGGAUCAUUACUGGACAUAUUGUUCGUAUACGCCGGUUGGUGUAUAGUGGUGGUGUUUGCACACCCUCACUCGCACUAGCCUGCAGUCAAACAACACACACUUUUAUACUGAAAUGACUGAAUCUCUUAUUAAAAGAUACAACUUUCAACAACGGAUCUCU
rnacentral:misc_RNA from 1 species